GCCACGGUGGUCUAGCGGUCAGAACGCUGGCCUUGUAAUCCUGGGGUCUCGGGUUCUAUUCCCGGCGGUGCCC
rfam:Zootermopsis nevadensis contig8121, whole genome shotgun sequence.